rnacentral:lncRNA from 7 species
AAGUAACCCUAGUUAGGGUUAUGUGGACAAAUGCCGAUUUUGCCCCCGAGGGGUCUCACAUCUAUAUAUAAGGAACCUGUACACGACUUCAUAAUACAGAGAAGAGAAAGAGGCAAGAGGGCCAAUCCUAUAACCUAUGUCUCGUGUGUUUCUCUGUUAUGCUUGUGUGAAUGGAGACGGGUCCUCUAUAGCUUCUUGUGCCUCUACUGCUGACGGGAGAGAAGGGAGCAGAUCUGGUAAUCCGUGGUAACGUAGUUCUUAACACGUUAUCAGCACGCUCUACCUCGACGUUGUUGCGAUAUCAUAUUUGCAUCAACUCUCCGUCAAGCCGGCAGGUCUCCGACCUAGCCGAACUGUCCUAUGCGACAUACUUCGAUUCCCUCUACGCAAUUGUGCGGUAUGCUUAAAUUGGAUAUACUAUUCUUGAUCUGCCGAUGUGCGUGGGCUGUGAUCCAUACGCCAAGAACUUGUCGUACGGGCGGGCACCAGGUCUCGCAUGGCCACAUGCGCGUUAGACUAGUGCGCGCGAGUGGCUGAAAAAAAGGAAACGGAUCACAUACUCACAUGCAACGUGAAUGUGGCUCCUGUACCCGGUCAAAACGGUUUUGGGUCAUGUGCCUCGCAUGCAAAUUGAGAUAUUUUUGGCU